GUGAAGAACGCAGCGAAAUGCGAUAAGUAAUGUGAAUUGCAGAAUUCAGUGAAUCAUCGAAUCUUUGAACGCACAUUGCGCCCGCCAGUAUUCUGGCGGGCAUGCCUGUUCGAGCGUCAUUUCAACCAUCAAGCCCCCGGCUUGUGUUGGGGACCUGCGGCUGCCCGCAGGCCCUGAAAACCAGUGGCGGGCUCGCUGUCACUCCGAGCGUAGUAGCAUAUAUCUCGCUCAGGGCGUGCUGCGGGUUCCGGCCGUUAAAAGCCUUUUUUUACCCAAGGUUGACCUCGGAUCAGGUAGGAAGACCCGCUGAACUUAAGCAUAUCAAUAAGCGGAGGA
rnacentral:misc_RNA from 1 species